CUCAAUGUUGGUGUGGACCCCACCAUCAAAACAGAGUCAUUUUUGCAUUUAAAAGUGCUCUUAAAUUCCAUGGAAAAAUCCAAACAUAUUCCAAUGGGCCCAAUUAUUUUUGUGGUACUAAUCAAAUGGAGCUCUCUUGGUCUCUUGGUCUCUUCAGCCCUCCCAGCCUUUUGCAUCUUUUGUUGUUCUAGAGAUGCACCGGGAGAUCUACAAUUUGAGGCUAAAAGUUUCAGAAAUGAAAAGUUACGCUAUAUUUGCAAGGAAAAUAGACUAUAGUUAAAUUAAAAUGGGACUAUCUUAUGUUAAGUGUCCACUCCUCGAGUGGAAUUAAAUGGACUAUUUGUUGAGAUUGUAAAUUGAUUAAGUUAAACAAUAGGUCUUGAAGUGAAUCAUGUUUUGAACAGUUUUCAGCUACUAACUGAAAUUGUUGAGGUUCUGAAAAUGUUCAGGUUUGCACUUAUAGCUGUACUUUUACGAUUUAGGACCAUUAAUCUAUAGAUAUGUUGUGGAUUAAUUCCAAAAAUGAAGUGCAAUCUCUACAAAAAGAGUGUACCUGCAAUAUUAUUCAGAUUAAAUGCAGUCUAGUUUGUUAACUGAAUUUGUUACUACUCCAUGGGUCUAGUUUUUCUGUUUCCUAGUUUGUUAACUAAAUUCGUAUUAAAUUCAUUCUAGACUGACUUUUAGACUGAUUUUCCACCAAAAUUCAAAAUACACUGCUUAGUUUCAAAAUGGAAAAUACACUUCAUACUUUUACAAGCUAAAAAUUAUUGUAUGAUAGUACAAAACUUGCUUGCAAUAAAAGCCCAACUCUCUAAAAGUGAAACCUUAACUAACUUUUAGACUGUAUUUUUACUCCAACUUUUCUUUAUAUUCAGAUCAUUUUAACUGACAUUUAGACUGACUUCUAGAUUGAAUUUUAAACUUGUUUGCUUGCAUUAAGCCGACAGUACACUUUAUAUUUAGAUCAGGAGCCAAGCUCUAAAAUUGAAUUUUUAACUGACUUUUCAACUGAAUUUUUACUACAACAUCUGUUACAAUUUCAGUUUCAGAUAAAGAUUAUAUUCAGAUUAGGAGACUGACUUCUUAUUCAGUUUAAGAUAAGGAGAACAGAGAAUCUACAAUUCUAUUGUAACAUCCCAAUCAAUUCAACUUAAGCAAAGAAUCUAUAGUACUCAGGCCAAUCAGUAUGAAAGCAUCUGUGUAAGCAAUCGAAGAAUCUACAACACCGACGAGGAGCAAACCUUCAGGUUGGUGUGCUUGGCGAUGGAGU
rnacentral:lncRNA from 1 species